rnacentral:rRNA from 1 species
AGAGUUUGAUCAUGGCUCAGAUUGAACGCUGGCGGCAUGCCUUACACAUGCAAGUCGAACGGCAGCAUAGGAGCUUGCUCCUGAUGGCGAGUGGCGAACGGGUGAGUAAUAUAUCGGAACGUGCCCUAGAGUGGGGGAUAACUAGUCGAAAGACUAGCUAAUACCGCAUACGAUCUGCGGAUGAAAGUGGGGGAUCGCAAGACCUCAUGCUCCUGGAGCGGCCGAUAUCUGAUUAGCUAGUUGGUGGGGUAAAAGCCUACCAAGGCAACGAUCAGUAGCUGGUCUGAGAGGACGACCAGCCACACUGGGACUGAGACACGGCCCAGACUCCUACGGGAGGCAGCAGUGGGGAAUUUUGGACAAUGGGGGCAACCCUGAUCCAGCAAUGCCGCGUGAGUGAAGAAGGCCUUCGGGUUGUAAAGCUCUUUUGUCAGGGAAGAAACGGUAGUAGCGAAUAACUACUACUAAUGACGGUACCUGAAGAAUAAGCACCGGCUAACUACGUGCCAGCAGCCGCGGUAAU